GUAGCAGUAUUGGAGUCUGAAUGUAUCUCAUGGUUUCUUGCUAUACAGAUCAUUCUGAUGAAAGCCUGGCUCAAAUCUGAGACGCAUCUGAAAUGGUCAGGCUCAAUAAGAAUGCAAUGGGAGCUCGUUAUGUGCAUCUGCAGACAGAAGCUGACCCUUCUUAAACCUUGUUAACCAAGAUUAUGACCAAAGUACUUAGGAACAAAGGACUUCUGCACUUCCAUCCAAGCAUACUUGGUUUGCCUCAGAGAAACUCCUGUUCAAAUGGUGACCCUGAACCUGAAAGUGGAAAUGCGUAUUCUUGGACCACAUGCUGAAUGUAACGAAAUCCAUGUUACUUCUUUAACUGCAGUAUCAAAAAGAAAUAGAAAACUUUAAGACUUUUCCUGUUAAAUAGGCAGAGAUCAGCUCUUGGCUUUGAAUACCACGUUUAUAAAGAAAGAAGAGGAUUCUUGUUAGACUGUGUGUUAUACUGUGAAUGGUAUGUGUUUACUCUAUACAUCGCAUGUUUAUAGUUAUGGUCAAACCUCAGCUUCAGCAAUACUGAUAAGAGCAAUAAUCUCUUAUGAGCAACAUUUUCACCUGGGACUAUUUUCCAUAUCAUGUAUUCAGAUGAAACCCUCUAUAACAGCAACAGACACUUAGGAACAACAUGGCAUCUGGAUACUGACAUAUUACUACAAACAGGCAUUGGCUUUCCUAGAUGUAAAUCCCAUAAACUUUUGUCUAUUUUUAGAUCUGUACUUUUUCUGCAUUUUCCAAUUUAUUUGAUUUUUUCCCCCAUAUUCCCCUGUCUCCCCCACCCCUUUGCUUUUGAGCAGAGGAGCAAAAACACUGAGGAAGAAGUUAUUGUCACUAUAUCUGCAGCCUAACUGGAAACAAGACAACUGUCCUCAUGAGAUUCUGAGUGGAAGUGUUCAGGCUUAAGAAACAUGGAUAAGUUUUAGUUCUCUGACUAAACACUCCACGCUCUAAUUCUGAACUUCUGCAGUUGGAUUAAUAUCUGCCUGCAGAUCAGUUUAAGCAAAAACAUAGGACGUAUGCCAUCAGGCAGAAUUACAAGAAUAUUUUCCUCUACAAAUGCAUCCAAAAUGGACAUGCAAUGAAGUUUGCCCCACAAUCUAGGAUAGCCUGCCCCUGAUUUAAUGAUGCUUUCUACCAUACUGCCCAAAUUCCAUGACGGUCCCAAAAUGCCCAGCACCACUGUGUUUGGGAGUUCUUGACUCCUGAUCCUGCAUUCCAGAUCCUAGAGGGGGAAAAUAUUAGGAAGUGAUGAACCCAGGGCAGCAAGACACUGAAGGUAACCUUUUUUAAAAGCAACCAAGUGAGUCUGGGGCCUAACUACCAUUUCCAAGAGUGGUUUAGGCUCUCAACUUUCACCCUUAAAAUGGGAUGCUGCCUCCUGAGUGACCUAGGUGCUUUUGAAAACUUUUACCUCCUUCUUUAUUUUGGGAAUUGGCUGGUAUAAGAGAAUUGGAGCUGAGAGGACCUGGCAUCUCUUAAGAGAUGAUAAGUAGUUUGCAAAUCAACUUAUUAGCUGAUCCACUGCCGGAGCAUGUCUACAAAAACCCUUCCCAGUACCACAGUGCUAUGGUGCCAGGAGCUGUGAGAAAUAGUCAUGGUUUGUAUGAAAAUGUUGUCCUAAGUAAUUGAAUAUUCUGUCAUAAAGAGAGCCUGAAAAAAUGUUGUCCUUACACUCUUAUUGUUUGAAAUAUAAAAUAAGAUGUUGUCAUCUUCCAGACAUUCAAAAUAAAUAAAUAAAUAAAAACAACUCCAGCAACAUUACAAAGAAAUAAAUGUGGGGAUGUUAUGAGACAGAGCUCCUGGCAUUCAUUGCUAUAUGGGUGUGUUUCUGGGGGGAAAAAAAGACAUAGGCCUG